GACGGGACCGCACAAGCGGUGGAUGAUGUGGAUAAUUCGAUGCAACGCGAAAACCUUACCUACCCUUGACAUGCUAGGAACUUGCCAGAGAUGGCUUGGUGCCCGAAAGGGAACCUAGACACAGGUGCUGCAUGGCUGUCGUCAGCUCGUGUCGUGAGAUGUUGGGUUAAGUCCCGCAACGAGCGCAACCCUUGUCAUUAAUUGCCAUCAUUCAGUUGGGCACUUUAAUGAGACUGCCGGUGACAAACCGGAGGAAGGUGGGGAUGACGUCAAGUCCUCAUGGCCCUUAUGGGUAGGGCUUCACACGUAAUACAAUGGUCGGUACAGAGGGUUGCCAACCCGCGAGGGGGAGCCAAUCCCAGAAAACCGAUCGUAGUCCGGAUUGCAGUCUGCAACUCGACUGCAUGAAGUCGGAAUCGCUAGUAAUCGUGGAUCAGCAUGUCACGGUGAAUACGUUCCCGGGUCUU
rnacentral:rRNA from 1 species